GAUGGUGGUCAUAGCAGCGGGGCCACACCUGUUCCCAUCCCGAACACAGUAGUUAAGCCCGCUCGCGCCGAUGGUACUGCAUGGGCAACUGUGUGGGAGAGUAGGUCGCCGCCAUCG
rnacentral:rRNA from 1 species